rnacentral:tRNA from 1 species
GUGGCACAAACAGUUUGUGCUUGACUGCUAAUCAAAAGGUUGGUGGUUCAAACCCACCC